rnacentral:rRNA from 1 species
GAUGAACGCUAGCGGCAGGCUUAAUACAUGCAAGUCGUGGGGCAGCAUGAGUAGCAAUACUUGAUGGCGACCGGCAAACGGGUGAGGAACACGUACACAACCUUCCUUCAAGCGGGGAAUAGCCCAGAGAAAUUUGGAUUAAUACCCCAUAAUAUAUUUGAUAAGGCAUCUUAUUAAUAUUAAAGCUUCGGCACUUGAUGAUGGGUGUGCGGCUGAUUAGAUAGUUGGCGGGGUAACGGCCCACCAAGUCUACGAUCAGUAGCUGAUGUGAGGGCAUGAUCAGCCACACGGGCACUGAGACACGGGCCCGACUCCCUACGGGAGGCAGCAGUAAGGAAUAUUGGACAAUGGACGAAAGUCUGAUCCAGCCAUGCCGCGUGAAGGAUUAAGGUCCUCUGGAUUGUAAACUUCUUUUAUAUGGGACGAAAAAAGGGCAUUCUUGUUCACUUGACGGUACCAUAUGAAUAAGCACCGGCUAACUCCGUGCCAGCAGCCG